rnacentral:rRNA from 1 species
UACGUAGGGGGCGAGCGUUGUCCGAAGUUACUGGGCGUAAAGAGCUCGUAGGCGGCCUGUCGCGUCGACCGUGAAAACCCGCAGCUCAACUGCGGGCUUGCGGUCGAUACGGGCAGGCUGGAGUUCGGUAGGGGAGACUGGAAUUCCUGGUGUAGCGGUGAAAUGCGCAGAUAUCAGGAGGAACACCGGUGGCGAAGGCGGUUCUCUGGGCCUUACCUGACGCUGAGGAGCAA